GAUGAACGCUAGCGACAGGCCUAACACAUGCAAGUCGAGGGGCAGCGGGAGCGAAGCUUGCUUUGCUUGCCGGCGACCGGCGCACGGGUGAGUAACACGUAUGGAACCUGCCCGCCACAGGGGGAUAACCGGGAGAAAUUCCGACUAAUACCCCGUAUGCUCACGGUAGCGCAUGCUACAGAGAGGAAACCGCGAGGGGUGGCGGAUGGCCAUGCGUCUGAUUAGCUGGUUGGCGGGGCAACGGCCCACCAAGGCGACGAUCAGUAGCCGGACUGAGAGGUUGAACGGCCACAUUGGGACUGAGAUACGGCCCAGACUCCUACGGGAGGCAGCAGUGGGGAAUAUUGGGCAAUGGGCGCAAGCCUGACCCAGCAACGCCGCGUGAAGGAAGAAGGCUUUCGGGUUGUAAACUUCUUUUGUCAGGGACGAGUAGAAGACGGUACCUGACGAAUAAGCCACGGCUAACUACGUG
rnacentral:rRNA from 1 species